AUUGAACGCUGGCGGCAGGCCUAACACAUGCAAGUCGAACGAGUGGCGGACGGGUGAGUAAUGUCUGGGAAACUGCCUGAUGGAGGGGGAUAACUACUGGAAACGGUAGCUAAUACCGCAUACACUCGGAUGUUCCCAGAUGGGAGUAGCUAGUAGGUGUGGGAAAGGCUCACCUAGGCGACGAUCCCUAGCUGGUCUGAGAGGAUGACAAGCCACACUGGAACUGAGACACGGGCAAGACUCCUACGGGAGGCAGCAGGGGGGAAUAUUGCACAAUGGGCGCAAGCCUGAUGCAGCCAUGCCGCGUGUAUGAAGAAGGCCUUCGGGUUGUAAAGUGCUGUCAGCGGGGAGGCGUUAACCGCAGAAGAAGCACCGGCUAACUCCGUGCCAGCAGCCGCGGUAAUUC
rnacentral:rRNA from 1 species